AACGAACGCUGGCGGCAGGCUUAACACAUGCAAGUCGAGCGGGCCCUUCGGGGUCAGUGGCAGACGGGUGAGUAACGCGUGGGAACGUGCCCUUCAGUUCGGGAUAACCCAGGGAAACUUGGGCUAAGACCGGAUACGUGCGAGAGCAGAAAGAUUUAUCGCUGAAGGAUCGGCCCGCGUCUGAUUAGCUGGUUGGUGGGGUAAUGGCCCACCAAGGCGACGAUCAGUAGCUGGUCUGAGAGGAUGAUCAGCCACAUUGGGACUGAGACACGGCCCAAACUCCUACGGGAGGCAGCAGUGGGGAAUAUUGGACAAUGGGCGCAAGCCUGAUCCAGCCAUGCCGCGUGAGUGAUGACGGCCUUAGGGUUGUAAAGCUCUUUCACGCGACGAUAAUGACGGUAGCGUGAGAAGAAGCCCCGGCUAACUUCGUGCCAGCCGCCGCCGUAA
rnacentral:rRNA from 1 species